UACGGAGGGUGCUAGCGUUGUUCGGAAUCACUGGGCGUAAAGGGCGUGUAGGCGGUCUGUUAAGUCUGAUGUGAAAUCCCCUCGCUCAACGAGGGAACUGCGUCGGAUACUGGCAGACUUGAGUACCGGAGAGGAAGGUGGAAUUCCCGGUGUAGCGGUGGAAUGCGUAGAUAUCGGGAGGAACACCUGUGGCGAAAGCGGCGCACUGGACCACAACUGACGCUGAGGCGCGAAAGCUAGGGGAGCAAACAGG
rnacentral:rRNA from 1 species